GAGGCCUUUCUGGGCAUCCGAGCUGCGGCUGCAGGCUUGUCUGGUCCUCCUGCUGCAGCCCACUGCCACCUUGACCUGCCGCCAGCACCCUGGCACCGCGGAUUCUGGCGUCGCGUACCCUAUAUUGCCGCUCCCACCACCCAGUCUGGCCUGGCACGCCGGUGCCAAGGCUUCAUGCUAGCAGGUUCGCGACGGGAUCAGAAUGCGGGACGGGACGCUGACUUCCAAAAGGAGGUUAACUGUUUGCUUCCUGCUUGUGAAAGGGAUGCAGAUUUCUUCCCUGUAGGGUUCAGGCUCCCGGACGGCGGUGUUUUCCGUCACGUUCCUUCUUCUAAACAUUGCAAGUUCCUCAUUGGCCGCAGGUGUAUUGAGAGGAGAGGGCUUGGGGAGUAGACGCACCCGAUUAUGGAGUUUUCUUUGCCUUUGUUCCCGGCGGUGGAUCUUAUUUCGGGGGGGUCCCAGACAGAGUAUUUGGAGCCUCUCCCUGGGAUGGGGUGGAGGCUGCCUGCAUCUCGAUUCGGUGUCCGUUGCGAUCGCCUGCGAAGCCCUACGCCAGAUCCCACUAACUGAGUUUAUGAUCCCUACCCCUUAUGGAAGGCUGAGUGCAGCUGUGGGGAGAAGCACGGCGAGAGACAUCAGGCUGGAGAGGCGAAACCAAACAAAAACCAAAAGCAAACGGCGAGCGGAGCUUAGACGCAGUGUGCAUGUGUAUUGGGAGCCGGGGGUGCUGUGCACAGAAAAGGGAAGGCAUACUGGUGUGCUGCUUAGCGGUGGUGCUCCCUGGCUACAAGAGUGGAGAAUAGACAUGGCAACAUUUGUCCUUAUAAGAAACCAACCUAGUCAAGACACAAACAUUAGUCUUCUCUUGAAGCCAGAACAGUAGUACAAUGGGUACUGUCAAAUGUGAUAAAAACAGAUACCAGGGGUAUAUUGCUCCCUGUCUGGCCUGGUGACGUUGCUAGAAAAUUGGAAGAAGCUCAGAUCAUCAUCUUGAAUGUGGUUAUCAAACCAUUGUGAACUUUCGUUUUUGCACUCUAGGUAGUUAUUUUGUUCAAGAUUAUAGUAGUUUGUGUGAAAAUGGAUUGAACCAAGAACAGUAUUUUAUCUUCUACUCGGUGCUUCCUCUACAGUCCAUGUCUUGCAAUUGCAAAUGCCUGAAGGUGCCAGUGUGGAGGAACCCUGUGAGAUGCUCCUGUGAUUCGAAGGAACCCCAUGCUGUAGCACUGAUUUCACAAUGUUGGAAAUUAAGUGUGAAUUAUCAUCCCAUCGUUUUCUGCUGAUUUACGGUGACAGAAACAACAGCAUGCCUUGAUGGCUGAGAGGACAUCAUGGAUUCAACAGCAACUUGGAGUGAUGCUUUUCUGAAGAAAUCAUGCUCGGAUGGAUAUAAUACAACCUGCUAAGUGUACUACCACUUACCAGGUUGUAUUAUUAUCGUCCGUGUUAUGGCUCUCCGUCGACUAGACUCCAUGAAGAAAAGGACAGUGCCUUAUUCAUCUUUAUUUACAGUGCCUAAUCUGGUGCACAUUGUAGGCCUCAUUAAAUGUUUGUUGAAUGAAAAAAUGAAUCAUCAACAGACAUUAAUUGGGCGCCUGCUCUGUGAUCUCCAUGGGCUCAGCUCAGUGUUGAAGAUAUCUUUAAUAUACUUUCUGCUGAUGCUUACUCCUGUCUUUAAUUCUUUUGUUGAGGAUUUUGUAUAGUACACAGAUAGCAAAUAAACUUCAUCUCUGAUGCCAUUUCCAA